GAGUUUGAUCCUGGCUCAGGAUGAACGCUGGCGGCGUGCUUAACACAUGCAAGUCGAACGGGGUUAUCAUUUUUGAAGCGAUUAGCUUGCUAAGAGUGGAAAAGUUGAUAACUUAGUGGCGGACGGGUGAGUAACGCGUGGGUAACCUGCCUUACACAGGGGGAUAACACUUAGAAAUAGGUGCUAAUACCGCAUAAGCGCACAGUCCCGCAUGGGACAGAGUGAAAAACAUUAGUGGUGUAAGAUGGACCCGCGUCUGAUUAGCUUGUUGGCGGGGUAACGGCCCACCAAGGCGACGAUCAGUAGCCGGCCUGAGAGGGUGGACGGCCACAUUGGGACUGAGACACGGCCCAAACUCCUACGGGAGGCAGCAGUGGGGGAUAUUGGACAAUGGGGGAAACCCUGAUCCAGCGACGCCGCGUGAGAAAGAAGUAUUUCGGUAUGUAAAGCUCUAUCAGCA
rnacentral:rRNA from 1 species